rnacentral:rRNA from 1 species
UACGUAGGGUGCGAGCGUUGUCCGGAAUUAUUGGGCGUAAAGGGCUCGUAGGCGGUUUGUCGCGUCGGGAGUGAAAACCCAGGGCUUAACUCUGGGCUUGCUUUCGAUACGGGCAGACUAGAGGUAUGCAGGGGAGAACGGAAUUCCGUGGUGUAGCGGUGAAAUGCGCAGAUAUCAGGAGGAACACCGGUGGCGAAGGCGGUCUCCGUGGGCAGUUGAUCCUGACGCUGGAGGAGCUGAAACGUGUGGGGAGCGAACAG